GUGGGGAAUUUUGGACAAUGGGCGCAAGCCUGAUCCAGCAAUGCCGCGUGCAGGAAGAAGGCCUUCGGGUUGUAAACUGCUUUUGUACGGAACGAAACGGUCCGGGUUAAUACCCUGGGCUAAUGACGGUACCGUAAGAAUAAGCACCGGCUAACUACGUGCCAGCAGCCGCGGUAAUACGUAGGGUGCAAGCGUUAAUCGGAAUUACUGGGCGUAAAGCGUGCGCAGGCGGUUUUGUAAGACAGGCGUGAAAUCCCCGGGCUCAACCUGGGAAUUGCGCUUGGGACUGCAAGGCUGGAGUGCGGCAGAGGGGGAUGGAAUUCCGCGUGUAGCAGUGAAAUGCGUAGAUAUGCGGAGGAACACCGAUGGCGAAGGCAAUCCCCUGGGCCUGCACUGACGCUCAUGCACGAAAGCGUGGGGAGCAAACAGGAUUAGAUACCCUGGUAGUCC
rnacentral:rRNA from 1 species